ensembl:snRNA U1 U1 spliceosomal RNA
AUGCUUACCUAGCAGGGGAGGUACCAUUAUCACAAUGGUGGUUUUCCCAGGGUGAGGCUUAACUAUUGCACUCUCUGGAUGUGCUGACCCCUGUGAUUUCCCCAAAUGUGGGAAACUUGACUGCAUAACGUAUGUUAGAAGGAGACUACAUUUGCACUCUCCCC